rnacentral:siRNA from 1 species
AAGCGUGGUGGGCCCAUAACCCAC